CGCUGGACUUGACCGGGGAGCCAGGCACUCCCUGUGACCCGUGCCUAAAUGCGGGGGCGACUGCCCGGUGAGGGCAACCAGGCCUUUGGCAGUCUCCAUGGAAUCGUUGAAUCUCUGUCCUUUUGGAUCGGGGGUUUAUACAUGCAUACUCAAAGGAGAAUGCAUGUAUAAUUUGCUGAAAAAACCCGCCAGGCCCGGAAGGGAGCAACGGUAUUUCAGACCGCCGAUGCUGAGAGGGUGCGGGGAGGAGAGGAAGUGGAGGGCACUACCAAAACACCUGGUCUGAUCCGGGUGUGUCCAGCA
rnacentral:SRP_RNA from 1 species